UGAAAAGAGCCGUGAUGAAUGCA
rnacentral:piRNA from 1 species